UACGUAGGGGGCGAGCGUUAUCCGGAUUCAUUGGGCGUAAAGCGCGCGUAGGCGGCCGCCUAAGCGGAACCUCUAACCCCGGGGCUCAACCCCGGGCCGGGUUCCGGACUGGGCGGCUCGAGUGCGGUAGAGGAGAGCGGAAUUCCCGGUGUAGCGGUGGAAUGCGCAGAUAUCGGGAAGAACACCGAUGGCGAAGGCAGCUCUCUGGGCCGUCACUGACGCUGAGGCGCGAAAGCUGGGGGAGCAAACAGG
rnacentral:rRNA from 1 species